rnacentral:rRNA from 1 species
AGCGUAGACGGUGUGGCAAGUCUGAUGUGAAAGGCAUGGGCUCAACCUGUGGACUGCAUUGGAAACUGUCAUACUUGAGUGCCGGAGGGGUAAGCGGAAUUCCCAGUGUAGCGGUGAAAUGCGUAGAUAUUGGGAAGAACACCAGUGGCGAAGGCGGCUUUCUGGACUGUAACUGACGCUGAGGCUCGAAAGCUAGGGUAGCGAACG